rnacentral:rRNA from 1 species
CCUACGGGCGGCAGCAGUGGGGAAUAUUGGACAAUGGGCGAAAGCCUGAUCCAGCCAUGCCGCGUGUGUGAAGAAGGCCUUCGGGUUGUAAAGCACUUUCAGUGGGGAAGAAAGCCUUGGGGCUAAUACCCUCGAGGAAGGACAUCACCCACAGAAGAAGCACCGGCUAACUCCGUGCCAGCAGCCGCGGUAAUACGGAGGGUGCGAGCGUUAAUCGGAAUUACUGGGCGUAAAGCGCGCGUAGGCGGUCUGAUAAGCCGGUUGUGAAAGCCCCGGGCUCAACCUGGGAACGGCAUCCGGAACUGUCAGGCUAGAGUGCGGGAGAGGAAGGUAGAAUUCCCGGUGUAGCGGUGAAAUGCGUAGAGAUCGGGAGGAAUACCAGUGGCGAAGGCGGCCUUCUGGACUGACACUGACGCUGAGGUGCGAAAGCGUGGGUAGCAAACAGGAUUAGAUACCCCGGUAGUC